CGGGGCGGGGCGGGGCACGGGGAUGCUCGAGAACCGUGGGUCCUGCCCACUGCGCCCACCGCCGCACCUGCUCACCAUCUGAGUGAUUCAUUUCCUGUUUCGUACGUCAGGGAAGGGCUCAACUGGCCCGGACAGGAGCCAGGCCCCAAGCGCUUCUGCAGUCCCAGGGCUGACUGCAGCGCGUCCCUGCCGCGCGAGUCCCUUCUCCCACUCGGUCCCCGCACCUCUAGUUCAGGCCCGCGGGGCCCGGGUCCAAUUGCUACUUAAAAAUGCUCUGAUGUAAAGGAAAAGAGAUAAAAACAUCCGCAUCUCUGAGCUCAGCGCGGGCUCCCUGUGUCCCCGGCCCAAUACUGUAAGAGCCGCCGUCAAAGCUUUCGCUCUCAGCAGCCGAGGAUUCAGAUUUCUUCCUCUUCUCUCUGACUUGCAGCAGCUCAGCCCCUACCCUCACAGGGAGGAAACGUAAAGUCAGGCUUGAGGCAGGAGUGGGGCUGUAGGAGGCGUCUUAGGCUAGGAGCAUGGAUUUGCCGCAGAAGGAAGAACUGACCAGCGCGGCUGAACGUCCAGUCCUACUCUGUCCAGCCAUACCCAGGAGGGCGGGGACACUGGAGCGGUUUCUUCCUCAAGCGGUGCCCGAAUUAGGAAUCCUGAAAGGUUGCUGGCUUCGGUGUGAGGGCACGAGGGACACCCUGAGAAGCCCACAGCUGUGAGCAGACAUGGACUUUGUGAUCUACCCUUUGGGGGCUCUGUCUACACCGGGAUGGGACGGGUCACAUAGCCCGAAAGGGCUGCUGGGAGCAGCGAGCGGCCGCUGAGGGUACACUAAGUCUUCAGCGGCUGAGAGCCCCGCGCUGUGGCUGGGCCUGGACUGGAGGCUGCAGCUGGGCAGGCCUGUCACCCUUCUGACCAGGGUGGACGUGCUUCCUGUUCUUCUCCUUCAGUCCAUCAUUUCAUAGCCGUCGGUGGGGCUGCCCUGCUUUACUCUCUGACGUCAUCGACUGUUCAUCCAGCCCGAAAGCCCCAUGGCUAGUCAUUCUUACCACAUGCACAGCUUGAAAGGCUGCCUUUGUUCUCUGAGCCUCAGGCUUCCCAUGCAGAAAAGGGACAGAGUAAAAUUUGAUGUUGGGUUAGGAUUGUUUUGCCCAUGAAUGUAUGCCACAGAUAAGCUACAUGAACUUUCUAAAGCCACAGGUAUCUUUCUCUGACCUCCAGGGGAUUGGUGCAGCUCCACAUUGGUCCGCCUGAAGUCCACCUGGUCUGGUAUUGAUCUUAUUACUUUGCCUUUAGCUUAACAUCCACCUUUUUCCGUUCUUUUAGCUACCCAACACAUUCACACAUGCAUGUGUACACACACACACACACACACACACACACACACACAUACACCCUUCUGUCAACUUCUUCGGCCUCUGAUUUCAUCUAACUGUUCAUGAGUGCCAGGCUCCGGUGAUGGAAUUAGUGUCUUUCUGAGAAAAGGGAGAGGCUGAGUUCUGUCCUCCCCAUCUCCCUCCUCUGCUGCCUUCCCCCAUCACGAGCAAGCAAGGUAACAGCCACCAAGGAGCAGAGAGAGGAGGCCUCAGAAUAAAAAAUACCUUGAUAGUGGCCUUCCCGCUCUUUGGAAUAAUGACAGACAAUUUUCAUUGUUUAAGCACUCAGUACAAUAUUUUGCUAUGGCAGCCAGAGCAGAAGAGCUAGGUGCUGAUGUUAUUCUCAUUUCUCAGUCAAGGAGGCCAAGGCUCAGAAAGGAAAAGAAACAAGAGCAGAGCCAUCCAACUGGGGCAGGCUUGGAAUGGACAGAAACAUUUGGUUUGGUUUCAAGACUAAUACCCUUAGCCACCGUUCUUCCCUGCCUCCAAGUGACACCCCCCAAAGAACUGUCCUGGCACCACCUCCUGGGGAGCAGCAGCCCAUCCUCAUCGGCAGCUCCAACCGUCCACAGAAAGGGGGGAGAACAGGAAGAGCCGGAAGUCUCACGGUGGCAGAUCCUGUGAAUAUGGAUGAGGACACAGUGGCAUGUUUACAUGAGCUGCCUUUCCUUUGGAAGACACUUGGCAACAUCAUGUACCAUAUUUUUGAUCAUACCUCAUAAAGACAUGCAGGAAAGAGGACUUCCAGAAGAGAUUUAGAAAGUGGCAGAAGGAUAGGCUAAGGAGGGAGGAGGAUUAUGAGGGGGACUCAUGGAAAUGUGUCUUUUUCUGUAAUAAUUGAAAACAACUGUAACAUUCAUUGCCUAGUUCAGUCACACCUCAUGUGCUGUUUUCUCCUCCGCACUGACUUUCACAUCCCCAUGCCCACUGUUCCUUCACCUUCAAGGACUCAGGGAGGCUCCUGGGCAGGGAUUUAUACAGGGUCAGGUCUGGGAAUCAUGCAGCAGCAGCAUUUGGUAGAAUGGUUUAGUCUUGAGCCCUUCAAGAGGAAACUCUGAAAACAAGACGUAAACGAGACAUUUAUGGAACCAAAGGAAUUAAAAGUGCACCUCCUACACAUCCAUUCAGGUAAUACUCAUGAGGUCUGGACUGUUGGACUCAUUUUCCUUUGGAGACACCAAAGCUCAGAGUCCAAGUAACUUCCCUGAGUUCUACCAGAAAGAGAGGUGAAGUCAGGCUUUGGAACCACAUAGGAUUGACUGCAAAUGCCAUGCCUUCCCCCUUGGUGGAAGGAAUGAUGAAUAUUAAGAGUGUAAGCCAAGAAAUCAUAAGAUAAAAGCAAAGUGGAAGGAAUAUAGACUUGGGAUUUUCAAACAAGAAGUAGAUCAUGACUUGAUAUUCUUUGGGGUAGAUAAGCAGGGUCAGAGAAAGUUCAGCAUGCAUCAGGGUGUUUGUAAAUUUUGUGAUUGCACUGCUAUAUCCUGGUCAAGAAGCAAAACAAACAAUCUAGUUUCCCCAAGCUUGCAAAGUAUUGCUAGGUCGCAGAAAAUCUCUCUAACAGGUUCCAUUCCUGCUAUGAUGUCUAUGUGGCAGUUUACCCCGUCAAUAAAUUCUGUAAGGACCAGAAAAGGAUUUUUGCUCUUUUUGACCAUUCUGCAGGCUUUUGAUUUUUAUGUUGUCAAGACUUCUCGGAGGUUCUCAAAUGCCAGUAGUAAAAUCCUCCCCCAUAACUCUUUCCUAUGUUUUGGUCAGCCCAUACCCAAGAAGAUGUCUUGCAUUGGGAAUAGAGGAUAUCAUCUCCCAGAAGACAUAUGUGGAUGGAAAACUUAAGACAAAGAAUUUGCAGACAUUUUCACAAAAGGCCAUCUAGCAAAUAUUUUAGGGCUAUGGCUAUUUUGGAAGUUGUUCCAGUUUCAUUACAAUAAUUGAAAAAUAAGGAAAAGUUCUGAAACAUAGCUGUAAAAUUCAGUUGAAAUGACUUAGGAAAUGUACCAGAAAUUUAACAACAACUUGGAGGAGGCCCUUUGCAUACGUGACAUGGCUUAAAACUCAAGCUGGGCUUAAAUUUUCACUCUCCUGCUUACUUUGUGGAGUUGCUUAACCAAUCAGAACUCAAAAUGCUUUCUCAGCAGUAAAAUGGAAAUUAGAAUGCGUGGAUUCCAAUUAGAAUGAAUUAUCAGAGCUAGAGAAUUAAGCAAUGUAAUGCAUAUCAGAUGCUUAGCACUAUACCUGGCAUAAAGAAAGUACAGCACUUAACAUGCUAGUUUUCUGUAUUGAUUUAGUAUUGAUCAAUUUGUCAUUUAUGAAUGUAGUGACUGUAGCCAAUGAUGUAAAAAAAUAAUUAAAAACAUGAAUAUAGCAAGUUAAUUAAUAUAAGAGAAAGAAGCCAUGGAUCAGAUAAUUGAAAGACAUUAACAAAUUAACAGGGAUGUUUAGAAAUUUUUUAUCAACAGAGGUGAAAUUGUUAAUAAAUGUUUGCUAAUUGAUGGGGAAAAUGAAAGCAUUUUGUCUCUUUUGGGAUCAUAGGGCUUUUACAAUGACACUGUAUCCUAUAACUUGAUGAAGUUAUCUUUAUUUUUUAAAUUAUAAAUAUGAAUACAUUACUUGCACCAAUUAAUGGGCUUCACUAGACCUUUCCAUACAUGGAUGUGUCCUGUAGUAAUUGUAUCCACCCUCCCUACCACCCUUUCUCGCCCUCCCUUCUUCUGUUUCCUUCUCCUGGCUCCUUUUCUUUUUCUUAGUAGUCUCUGCGCUCCUUUCAGGUUCCCUCCCUGCCUUCCUUCCUUCCUUGCCUCCUUCCUUUGUUCGUUGCUACACAGCACAUAGGAGAAUGGUGCUUGGCUUUCUGAGUCUGGCUGAUUUUGUUUAACAUGAUGAUCCAGUUCCAUCCAUUUUCCUGCAAGUGGCGUGAUUUUACUUGAGUCCGUCUUUAAGCAAAGGUGUCCUGUGGAUGAGCUAGCAUUUCAGAACGUCUGAAUAUUUAAGGAACUUGUAGCACAUAGCAUUGAGUUCCUGCUGCUGCAUACUGUCCACGUAAGUGUCAGAAAAUCUACUCUUUCCUUUUUCCACUUUGGAAUGCUUUCCUUGUUCUUGGUUUCUCCUUUGUUUAUCUAAAACAGCCUUUCCUUAUGACUUUUGUUAUUGUUUUCCCUUUUGAACAUAUGGUUAGGGGUUAGAAGUUUCAUUUCAAGGUCUGCCCUGUUUGAUCACCCCACAAAACAAAACAAAACAAAACAAAACAAAACAAAACAAAA